rnacentral:siRNA from 1 species
GUGACUUGUCUAACUGUCUCAUA